UUGCUGGACGCCGGGGCGAGCCCCAAGGGCUCUCGCAGCGCGCCAGCCGCGUCCGGCCGGUUCCCGCAGGUUAGUCUCCGCGGGAGGAACUAAAACAAGGACAGACUGCAAAAAGGAAACUGUGCCCUGAUGGGAAUGUGCUGAUAACCUUAUCUUCCCUGCUCUGCUAACCUGAAUUGGACACUCUUGGUUUCAGCAACAGUUUGUAUAUACUUGCUGAUCUGCUUGUAACUCCACUUCCUAUUUCACAAUCUAAUCUCAGAUGAUACCACAAUGCCCGUGGUAUGCUGAUCACUACAAACAGCAGAUGGAGUCAGAUAAAAAGAGCUCUCACCCAAGUGUGCUGUUUUAAAAGGACCUGAUGGGGAGCUAUGCAAUUAUGUGCAACAUUAGCUCCAGUUAGUUUUUAAAUAACAAUGGUACCAUAUGUCUGGCCCCUGUGCUCAGGAUCUCAACAGUUCAUUUUCAGGACUGACAUUAUCUGGCUUCUCAUGAAGUAGCAUAGAGUUCCAAAAUGUAGAAUUCAAAUGCAACUUCCACAAAGGCAGAGAUUUUAAGUUUGAUGUGUGUGUAUUUGAUUAUAUAUCUCCCAAGUACCUAAAAGCACUUGGCAUGCAGUAGGUGUACAAUAAAUUUCUGUUGAGUGUAUUUUUGAAUGAAAUGUAGUUUAUAAAUUGCUGAAUAAACUUGUCCUGCUUUC